rnacentral:rRNA from 1 species
UACGAAGGGGCGUAGCGUUGCUCGGAAUGACUGGGCGUAAAGGGCGCGUAGGCGGUUUGGACAGUCAGGCGUGAAAUCCUGGGCUUAACCUGGGGCUGCGCUUGAUACAUCCAGACUUGAGUGGGGAAGAGGGUCGUGGAAUUCCCAGUGGUAGAGGUGAAAUUCGUAGAUAUUGGGAAGAACACCGGUGGCGAAGGCGGCGACCUGGUCCUUUACUGACGCUGAGCGCG